AGAGUUUGAUCCUGGCUCAGGACGAACGCUGGCGGCGCGCCUAACACAUGCAAGUCGAACGAGAGAGAGGGAGCUUGCUUCCUCAAUCGAGUGGCGAACGGGUGAGUAACGCGUGAGGAACCUGCCUCAAAGAGGGGGACAACAGUUGGAAACGACUGCUAAUACCGCAUAAGCCCACAGGUCGGCAUCGACCAGAGGGAAAAGGAGCAAUCCGCUUUGAGAUGGCCUCGCGUCCGAUUAGCUAGUUGGUGAGGUAAUGGCCCACCAAGGCAACGAUCGGUAGCCGGACUGAGAGGUUGAACGGCCACAUUGGGACUGAGACACGGCCCAGACUCCUACGGGAGGCAGCAGUGGGGAAUAUUGCACAAUGGGGGAAACCCUGAUGCAGCGACGCCGCGUGGAGGAAGAAGGUCUUCGGAUUGUAAACUCCUGUUGUUGAGGAAGAUAAUGACGGUACUCAACAAGGAAGUGACGGCUAACUACGUGCCAGCAGCCGCGGUAAAACGUAGGUCACAAGCGUUGUCCGGAAUUACUGGGUGUAAAGGGAGCGCAGGCGGGAAGACAAGUUGGAAGUGAAAUCUAUGGGCUCAACCCAUAAACUGCUUUCAAAACUGUUUUUCUUGAGUAGUGCAGAGGUAGGCGGAAUUCCCGGUGUAGCGGUGGAAUGCGUAGAUAUCGGGAGGAACACCAGUGGCGAAGGCGGCCUACUGGGCACCAACUGACGCUGAGGCUCGAAAGUGUGGGUAGCAAACAGGAUUAGAUACCCUGGUAGUCCACACCGUAAACGAUGAUUACUAGGUGUGGGAGGAUUGACCCCUUCAGUGCCGCAGUAAACACAAUAAGUAAUCCACCUGGGGAGUACGACCGCAAGGUUGAAAACUCAAAGGAAUUGACGGGGGCCCGCACAAGCAGUGGAGUAUGUGGUUUAAUUCGACGCAACGCGAAGAACCUUACCAAGUCUUGACAUCCUGCGACGCACAUAGAAAUAUGUGUUUCCUUCGGGACGCAGAGACAGGUGGUGCAUGGUUGUCGUCAGCUCGUGUCGUGAGGUGUUGGGUUAAGUCCCGCAACGAGCGCAACCCUUACUGUCAGUUACUACGCAAGAGGACUCUGGCAGGACUGCCGUUGACAAAACGGAGGAAGGUGGGGAUGACGUCAAAUCAUCAUGCCCUUUAUGACUUGGGCUACACACGUACUACAAUGGCGUUAAACAAAGAGAAGCAAGACCGCGAGGUGGAGCAAAACUCAGAAACAACGUCCCAGUUCGGACUGCAGGCUGCAACUCGCCUGCACGAAGUCGGAAUUGCUAGUAAUCGUGGAUCAGCAUGCCACGGUGAAUACGUUCCCGGGCCUUGCACACACCGCCCGUCA
rnacentral:rRNA from 1 species